rnacentral:rRNA from 1 species
GAGUUGGGCGACUCUAGCGAGACUGCCGGUAAUAAACCGGAGGAAGGUGGGGAGUGACGUCAAAUCAUCAUGCCCCUUAUGACCUGGGCUACACACGUGCUACAAUGGUUGGUACAACGAGUUGCGAGUCGGUGACGGCGAGCUAAUCUCUUAAAGCCAAUCUCAGUUCGGAUUGUAGGCUGCAACUCGCCUACAUGAAGUCGGAAUCGCUAGUAAUCGCGGAUCAGCACGCCGCGGUGAAUACGUUCCCGGGCCUU